UUUCUUCAUACUAUCCAGAGCUCCAAACUUUGUAGGAAGCCAGAAGCGUCUCCUUUGUUGAACAGUGCCAAAAUAGCAGCUCUGAAGAUCACUUUGAUUGCCAUGUGGAGAGUGAACUGUGGGAGGACCCCAGUGGAGGCAGGAAGACUAAACCAGAAGACAGUCACAGUAGUCCAGAUAAGAGAUGCAUAUGUUAUCAAUCGCCAUGUGAAGAAGAUGCUUGCUUCCCCUUUGCCUUCUGCCAUGAUUGUGAGUUUCGCGAGGCCUCCACAGCCAUGCUUCCUGUACUGCAGAACUGUGAGUCAAUUAAACCUCUUUUCUUCAUAAAUUACCCAGUCUCUGGUAGUUCUUUAUAGCAGUGCAAGAUGGACUAAUACACCACCUAAGUGAUGUAUUUGUUGCUCCAGCUCUAUAUAUACCUAAUUUGUACAUCACCUGGGACCUUGCUUUUCUUUGAGUUAAAUGAUUUUAUAUGUUAACUACUCUACUUUAAUGAUCACAAUUUAUCAUAUACUUUUUCAGCAUCUCAAUAAAAGAAAUUUUUUCGAAA
rnacentral:lncRNA from 1 species